AUUUCUCUUUCUUUCUCCUCCAAGAAUAUCAAAUUUGGUGAAUUGUUUGAGGGGAAUAAUUACUGUCUUCUCAUCUUUAAAACCUCACUUCAAGAAUUUAGAUUGAGUGAAAAAGGAAAAAAUAUGUAUAUCUUGGAAAGGUGAAAUCAAGAAUGGCAUCGACAGCUGCUUCUUUGGGUUCGUCGACUUUGAUUCAGUCAAUUGGUGGGGGUCUUAAAAUUCAAAAAUAUUCUCUUUCUAAUCCGAUUUCACUCACUUUUACGAGGAGAAAAUCUCGAACUAUUGUGAAGGCAACUGCUCGGAUUGAUAAGUUCUCCAAAAGUGACAUCAUUGUUUCUCCAUCUAUUCUUUCUGCUAAUUUUUCCAAGUUAGGAGAGCAGGUCAAAGCAGUUGAGCUAGCAGGUUGCGACUGGAUUCAUGUUGAUGUGAUGGAUGGCCGUUUUGUUCCAAAUAUUACAAUUGGGCCUCUUGUAGUUGAUGCCCUACGCCCCAUCACAGACCUUCCAUUAGAUGUGCAUUUGAUGAUUGUGGAACCUGAGCAAAGAGUUCCUGAUUUUAUAAAGGCUGGUGCCGAUAUAGUUAGUGUCCAUUGUGAACAAUCUUCCACCAUCCAUUUGCAUCGCACCAUAAAUCAAGUUAAGAGCCUAGGCGCUAAAGCUGGAGUUGUCCUGAACCCUGGAACUCCAUUGAGUGCCAUAGAGUAUGUUCUUGAUGUGGUUGAUCUGGUAUUGAUUAUGUCUGUAAACCCUGGAUUUGGUGGGCAGAGCUUCAUUGAGAGCCAAGUUAAGAAAAUAUCAGACUUGAGAAGAAUGUGUGCAGAGAAGGGAGUGAACCCCUGGAUCGAGGUAGAUGGUGGAGUUGGUCCUAAAAAUGCUUAUAAGGUUAUUGAGGCUGGGGCCAAUGCAUUAGUUGCUGGAUCCGCCGUCUUUGGAGCUCCAGAUUACGCUGCAGCCAUUAAAGGAAUCAAAACCAGCAAAAGGCCUGUUGCAGUUCCAGUAUAAAAUUUUCAUUCAAAAUGUUGUUCAAGCUGUCGUGUGCUCUUGAUUCCCAGGUGCCUGAAAUCAUAUUAGCGAGUCGAUUAAAAGUUAUGCUACAACGACAGAUACAUGAUGAAAUAAUGUAUUUGUCCACCCUACUACUCUAUGUUGAGUAUAAACUAUGGGACGAGAUAGAGCAAAAUAUUGAAUGUUGUUGUAAGAUGAAAUGUUAAAGGAGGGAUUCCUCUGAAGUCGAAAAUAAGAACAGUAAGAAACAUAGUUUAGACCUGUUGUGAGACAGAAUGUCUGUUAACAUAUUUUGCUGGAGGGAUUUGUUUAUAUCAUUAUAUGCCUACUUUAAAGAAACUUCUUUCAUGUAUAUGUUGCAGAUUUAUAGAUUUGUACAUUGUACCAUUUGACAGAGAAUCACAUGAAUUAUUUUUGCGUAAA